rnacentral:tRNA from 1 species
GGUGAUAUCAGCUAAUAAAGCUUUUGGGCCCAUACCCCAAACAUGACGGUUAAAAUCCCUCCUUCACCU